GGGGGUGUACCGGAUUCGAUUGGGAAGAUAAGGUGCUUUGUAUAAGCGUGUCGAAGGCUCGGCUUCGUUAAAACGGAAACAAUUUUAAUUGCUAACAGAAAUACUGUAGCUUUAGCUGCCUAGUCAGCUUUUGUCGUUUGGAGUAACCUACGGACUCAACUCGGCAUCAAUUUAGUAGGGUACAUGUGAGAGCAGGAGUGAUCUAGCCUACCUCACAGGACACAAAGCGGAUUCGUCAGUAUAGGAUUAUGUCGUUGUAAGCCGUACUUGAUGUAAAAAUUAGCGACUACACACGUAGAAGACUUUGUGUCGCUUUCCAACACAGGGGUUCAACUCCCCUCACCUCCACCA
rnacentral:tmRNA from 1 species